AGAUAAUAUUCCCUGUUCCUUUGAUGGUUCGUUCCACUACAGCUGGUUCAUAUACCCUACAACAGCCAGGAAAUUGGUCUGUUUACUUUAAGAUCUCAAGAAAAUGUAACAUAUUUUGGAUGUGCUUUGAGGAAUCAGGAAGGCAAGUGUUUCCUCUUGUUUAUGAAAGCAACUCAGUUGGUUAAGGGGCAGACAACUUGUGAGCAUGGUACAUCACUACCUGUAUUGGUAUUCCAUUUUGACAAUGCUGCUAGCUAGAAUAGAAAUAACAUCUUGCUGUGGUAUGGUCUGUGGAGAGUUUUACUAGGAUAUCACAGAUCGACUGAAUAUUCAACAAUGAUCACAGACCAUGCAAAGUUUGAAUCUGACUUGCACUUUUGAAUUUAGAAGAAUAUGUGGAGGAGGGUGAAUGCUGAGACCUUUAAUAAUACAUGAUAUUGCUGACACAGUGUGUCAGUCAUCAAAGAAAUGUCAUAACAACACAGUUGGUCAACAAAGAUUUAAAUCCUGUCACAUUCUACAAGUGGAGAAAUAUCUUAUCACAAUAUUUUAAACUUUUGAAGAAGAUAACCAAGUAUUACCACUUUAUCAUGUCUGCAGAAACACCUGGAGUGUUAGUCUUAAAAGUGACAGGCCAGUUAACUUACUAAAAUCUACUCCCCCUUGCCAAACAAAUAUUAUUGACAUGGAAUGACACAAGCCUGACAAUGGUACCUGUAUGAACUCAUAAGAGAAUAGUUUUUGUCUGAAAAGUCGAAGGAUUCUGUUUGUCCCAAACCACUUGAACUGAAAUUGGACUGACGAGGAUUUUUCUGAGAACUGAAAAAAGGAAGUGAAUAUAAAAGAUAGAAAUUGUUGUUGAAUUCAAACGUUUUAAUAUACAACAUUUUAGCCUGUUUUGCUGUUCAUAUAGAUGUGUUUAGCUGUUAAGGUUAAACAUCAAGUAAAGGUUGUAGUUUCAGUUAUCUACAUUAAAGUAUUGGCUGGAAAUAACUAUUUACUUUUCACCAGAGCUUGUAGCAGUGUAACCUUCAUCAAAAGUUAAGCUGUUGUGUUAAUUAUUAAAAUAUUUUUAGAAAAACGAAUUUAGUAUGUAUGUUGCCAUGGUAACAUAAUUCAAAUUAUAUUUCAUUGAAAUUAUGGAUUUGUAUUUCAAUAAGGGAUCUACAGUAUAUAAUGUAAUGGUAAAAGAAUGUUCACUUUCGUCAGUAUUGUCAGUUAUCACUAGCCAGUGAAAAACAGAUUAUGAGGAAAGGGAUGACUGAAAUGUUUAUUCUUACGAUAACUACUUUUGUUACAGAACAUGACUGUUUUAAAGUUUUUAUUUGAAAUUUUCAGAUUUCUUUCCUGAAUACUUGUACUUUCAAAUAUUUAACUUAUUAGAAAUACUUUUUAAAAUAAGCUCUUGUUUUUAAGUAUUAUUGUAGGAAAAGGGAAUUUAAAACAUAUGUCGCCAUGGUAACAUAAUUUUCUUAGAAAAUAUGGAAAAAUUUUAAUUAGCUGUACUUUCUAGUAUUCUAGAUAAGCAUAAACAAUAAAACAUCAGUAGUAAUAUAUGUUUCAUUUAUUUCAAAAUAGUAAUUUAUUACCAGCAGGUAAAAGGCAAGUUAUGAAGAAACAAUGACAGAAAUGCCUUAUUCUUAUAGUUAUUACUCAUGUUACAAACACUGUCAUAAAACAAAACAUUUUAUUUUUUUAACAUGGAAUUUUGAGAUAAUAUUUUUGAAUACGUACCACUUUAUAAUAUUCAAGUUAUCUGAAACACUUUUCCAAAUUUAGCUCGUUUUUAAAGUAUUAUUGUAGAAAACAGAAUCAAAUGCAUAUGUUGCCAUGGUAACAUAAUUUAAUAAUGUUUUUAUAGAAAAAAAGAAAAUGUGAAGGA